ACAGUGUGGCCGUUACAUGAUCUGCUUAAGAAUUCGAUGACCCGGGUAAUGGAGCCACACUUUUGGAAGGUCCUCGAAGUUCCUGAAACCUUGGAUCACUCCAGCCCUUCCUGGAGAAGAACACCAUGUCUGAAAAGUUGUGGGGGUUUUCCCCUGCCUUAAAAUGGACCUCAGAAAUCCUCCACCAGACAGAGCAGCAGAAUCCUCUGUAUCUAGAUGUGCCUGACGUAAAAAUGUCAAAUAGCUCCUCAAACAGAAACACAUAUUAAAAGAUCAAAAGUU